GGCAUUCAAGGCGAACUUACACACUCGCAAGCAAAUGGCAUACAAACAUAUAUAUCUACAUAUGUAUGUAUGUAUGUAUGUAAAUAGAUUUUCGUGGAGGAUGAAUGUCGUAACAAACGACAGUCAGUCACACAUACACGCAGAAGCAGACACAUUAGCUGGAUCGUGAAAGCUUGAGGACGACAAGGGCUAUUGGCGCGGCACAGCCAGGCGUAUAAGUUGUUUAGACUGUCAUACACACAUCGCCACAUAAAUACAUACACACGUACACACACACAACAUAGGCAAAGUCAUGUGCUGAUACUUUCCUUCUAUUCUCUAGCUGUUAUUACGAGGGACAACAACGACGACGACGAUAAAUCCGGACGAUCAUCACAGUGCCUAGGAACUUGUGACGGCAGCAAUAGUGGCGGCGACUGAGACGAAACCAAUGCGUUCGCCGUCGACACAACUCACUUCGUUUGUCGCAUACGUUUAGCUUUCGUGGCUCCUCCCGUCCCACCCUUGCUGCUUGCGCUAGCAUUUGUUGUGAAUGUUGAUAAAAACAGGCAAUCGUACGUAGCAUACAUAUCUGUAAGUAUACUUGUGGAUGUAUAUUAGUAUGGGUCUAACCAACAGUCGAGAGGAAGUAAUUGAGAAGAUGCAAGAGUGGAAUGUGAGGCGAAAAACAGACUCGAAAAACAGCACGCAAUAGGGCAAGGCAAACAGGCAGAUCGGUAGAUAGCUAGAGCUAGAUUGCUAGAUCGACGCAACGGUGUAAUGUGGGCUGAGCGGUGGGAAGGGCAGGCGGUAUGCUAAACUAACAACUAGCCAGCCAUCAAGGCAGGCAGGCGCAGGCUGGCGUGAAGAGGCUAGGCCGGCAGCACGGAAUUCACGAUACGACUCAGUGACUAUGAGAUUUAACGAGCGGAGAGUGUAAUAGAGGCGCUCAAAGCAACAAAGUGGUGGCAACGGCAAUAGUAUCAACGCCAACAAAAAUUAUAACAACAAUUCCCAUACAUACAUAUCUGUAUAAAAAUAUGGUGGUAUUCACUACCACUCACUACAUACAUACAUACAGCCGGUACCAGAUCCCCAGCAGUACUUUGUGCUGGUGUAAGCGCUUACAUGUAAACAGUUGUAGGCCAGAGAAGCCCCAGUAGUCAAUCAAGCCGCCGUUCUAGUCAAAGUUUUCAUAUUAAUACCUACAUACUCGUACGCCAAAUAUUGAAUAAUUGGCCUGGCCGGUGUAAAUUUUCGUAUGCGCCUUGCUUUUCGUUUCAGAGAUUGUGACGAACGCCUGUGAAUGAGCGCGGAUAAUUUUCGUGUGCGAACGGAUAUCGGAUGGCCACAUAUGGAUAUAAAUAUGAGAUGCGAACAGACAUACAAAUAUUCUAAUAACAAUGUAUAAAUGAGGGAUCAUUAGGCGAGUGCUAGCGUGAAAGGCUCAAUAAGCCGAAAACUAAUGCUGAGUAAUUAAUCAAAACAAGUGUUGGAGAUGUGUGAAGAAAGCACGUCCCCACACUGGUUGGGAAUAUUGAGUGGGAUAAACAGAUGGAAAUAAAUGCUAGAAAACAAUAAACCAUGCAGCAAAAGAUUCCGUGCUCGUGAUAAGAGGAAUCGCAAACAAAUUGGUUGAGUUGUCGAAAAAUAACAUAAUUCUGUACGGAAUUUUUAAACUGUUUAUCAUAGAGGCACUUAUUUCUGUUAGAUUGUGCUUUGGAACUGUUCGAUAGAUUUUCGAUAAUAACCGAAACUAUUUUUUAUCAAUGCCUUGAUAGUUUGUAUGUGCUAAAUAUAUGAGUAACAGCUGGCUUUGUUUGGCAGUGCUACGUAGUUCAGUUAUCGUCAGUGCAAGUUUAGAUAAGCAUAUCCGUGCCCCGAAACUAGUCUCGCCGUUAUAAUAUUCUUGUUCGCCUAAAAUGAUGGCCUUCAGUAAACUGCUAUUUCAUCAGUAUCAUUAUAAAAAUUUAUCCUAUUGGAUUUAUUUAGGCUCUCAUUGAUUUGUGAUGGUCUUACUCUUCCUUUGAUUUUCGUGAUUAUUAACCAAACUUUGUAAAAACAAAUCGUAAGAAGAUAAGUCUUUAUUGGAAAUAUGUAAGCAAUUGGAAAUUAUAUAAAAAAAUGGAAAAAUAAAACAGUUACAAAGAUUUUGACCCAUACUAAAAUUCGGCAACACUGUCUAAUAGUCGCAGCGGCGUGAUCUGCUUGUCAAAAUAUUCGACUAGACGAUUUUGAAA